rnacentral:lncRNA from 1 species
AGAUUAUGUGAAAUCAAAACACAUCUCCCUGGAAGUUCCCCUUGUGGCUCAGUGGUAAUGAACCUGACUAGUAUCCUUGAGGAUGCAGGUUCAAUCCCUGGCCUCGCUCAUGACAACACACAUACUUUACCAGGCUGGCUUGAAUAUUAUAAGCAAUAAUCCAUGUGAUGCACCUGUCACAGUGCAAGGCAUGCUUUGAGUGCAUAAAUAAGCUUUAGGCAUUAUUACUGUUUUCUGUGACGCUCUGGAGCAGGACAUGCAAGGGUCUGUAAACUACGAGAGAGGACAACUUCUCCUCCUUCCCAAAGGGACUCAGCAAAAUUGGGAGCUCGCCCCAGCAAGAUUGGGAGCAACUGCUGUGGGAUGCAAAUCAAGAAAUCUUUAAAAGAGGAGAGUGAGUGAGCUUAUGCAGAAAAAUUACACAGGGCUGUCUGAUGGCUGGUAAGAGCACUCUCAAAGGUCCCCAGACCAAAGCAUAUUGUGAUUCCAAAGAACACUGUGAUUCCAAGAACACUUAGCAAAGAAUACUGAGGUUUUAUAUAUUUCUCCUAACCAGAUCCACUGUUUCUCCUUGUUCAAAUUCCCUCUGCGACCUCUUCCCCUCUGGAACUUCCUCAACAGACAUGAAUACCAGGUUGAGACAGAGAGAGUCAAGGAUGUCUCCUUCAUAGAGUAAGAAGACGCCCUGAAGAACAAGGCUGGGCUGAUGCACAGGAGAGGGUAGGCAGGGUGACCCUAGGGUCACAGGAGCACAGCAGUAAAGAUCACAGAGACCAACUGAGCACAUAUUCUUCCAGCAGCUGCUUCCUAACAAAGGUUAUCCUGAGACGUGUGUAAUCAAGAAUCAAUAAAAGGAUAAGGUGGUGGUGGGUAGUUAUUCCUCAAGAAGCAAAAAAAAAAAAACACAAAUGUGAGAACAUGUGCAUGCACAUAAGAAGAAUUAAAGCCAUGCUUGGUACACUUAGAGAAAAUUACAUUCCUGGCUUCAGACAUGUAUACUCUGCUGUGCUCGGAAACUCAAGAGUGAGAAGUAUUCUGUCAAUGACCCCAGCUCUUGAAAAUACAAGUGCCAUACAGAAAGAGAACACCGUACACUCGAUAAAGAGGAGGGCUGGAGAGAGAUAUUAUCUUCAUCCAAAGGGCUAGCUGCACUUUCCUUCCUAAAAGCAAAUCAAAACCAUUCAUCUAUCAUAACUGUUCUUCAGACUGCAUGUCUGGCCCACACCUGAAAUUUUCUUUAUUCUUUGAGGAGAAGACACAGAUGCACAGGGCUGCCCCACCAGAAAAGUUAAAUAAAAAACUAAGCUUAGCUCACUCCUUAGCUAACAGCAGGCAUAGCCCAGAUAGGGGAAUAAAUGAAAAGCUAACAAGCCCCCUAAGCUCUAUCAAGAAGGAAGUUCCCAGGUCAGAAUGGCUCAGCCCCUUGGAUAUAGGAAUGGCUCAACUGGAUGAUGCCUCACUUUCUGCUUGUGAACCAAUUAACUCAGAGGAUCUCAAUGAUGGACUCUCAGUUCCUAGCUGAGGCACUUUGCAACUUAUUUUUAAAGGUGCCUGGAAAAAAAUGUUCCUGCAUCUCUGGAGACCAAUCUGUAGGUAAUAAUCACUUGUGAGUCAAAGUUUUUCACGUCUAACCAAACUAUCUUUAACAAAGAUGAAAGUCUAAUUAUUUUUUUUUUCACAGUUCUUUCUACCAGUCCUCACGGUGAAUGCAGUAAGCAUACAUCCAGAGGUAGACAGUCCCAAUUUCUUGCACUUUUUUCUUCUUCCAAAAGAGAGUAAAUCUAUAAUAAAAUUUGACGCAAUUUAUAGGCCUUUGUAAAACUUUGCCUGUCCUUAUAUUCACAAACUGGGGGAAAAAUUCUGUGACAAAAAGGAUGUUUGGCUUCAGAAAAACAUGGUCACUGCAUCUGUAGAAACAGGCAAGAGCCAACUCAAACUUAGAAUAAACCUACAAGCAUACCCAGAAAAAUCACAAAGAUGCUUCCAGCUCCCAAGUUCCAAGAUUCUUUAUUUUCUUCACAACAUUUAGUACAGUGUGUCAACCAUGCUACAGACUC